AUUGAACGCUGGCGGCAUGCCUUACACAUGCAAGUCGAACGGUAACAGGUUAAGCUGACGAGUGGCGAACGGGUGAGUAAUGUAUCGGAACGUGCCCAAUAGUGGGGGAUAGCCCGGCGAAAGCCGGAUUAAUACCGCAUGAGACCUGAGGGUGAAAGCGGGGGAUCGCAAGACCUCGCGCUGUUGGAGCGGCCGAUAUCAGAUUAGGUAGUUGGUGGGGUAAAGGCCUACCAAGCCUGCGAUCUGUAGCUGGUCUGAGAGGAUGACCAGCCACACUGGGACUGAGACACGGCCCAGACUCCUACGGGAGGCAGCAGUGGGGAAUUUUGGACAAUGGGCGAAAGCCUGAUCCAGCCAUUCCGCGUGCAGGAUGAAGGCCCUCGGGUUGUAAACUGCUUUUGUACAGAACGAAAAGGUUUCUACUAAUACUAGGAGCUCAUGACGGUACUGUAAGAAUAAGCACCGGCUAACUACGUGCCAGCCGCCGCCGUAA
rnacentral:rRNA from 1 species